AAGUCGUAACAAGGUUUCCGUAGGUGAACCUGCGGAAGGAUCAUUACCAAAUCCAAAUACCCAACCCCAUGUGAACUUGUAUAGUACGUCCUUGGGGGGGGAUCACAGCCUCUCCCGGUUGCUUUCCCCCCCAUGUUUAUUAAACAACAUUGGUCUUUCUUUGGCUUAACUUUUAUUAUAAAUAAUAAAAGACAACUUUUAACGGUGGAUCUCUUGGCUCGUGGAUCGA
rnacentral:misc_RNA from 1 species